AUUUUUUUUUCAGGGUGAAAGAGCUACCUUCUGUUCAUCCCCAAAUUGGAAAAUACACUCGUCCUGACAAACCGUCCCCUUUGACAUUGGAAAGCAUACUGCCUGAAUGUGGAGUAAAGGAAGCUAAGGGUUUGAGUUCCUUCUGGACAAACUACGGAAAGUUUCUACCGAGUCUGGAAUGAGGAAAUAUCCGUCGUGUCCGCCAACAAGAUGAAAAUGAAGAGUGUUUCAUGACAGCACUUUCUACUCCCUGAUUUGUCGGGCACACAACUGACCCAUCCACACUCACUGCAAUUUGGAAAUCUUUCAAUAUUCAAACCCUUUCCCCUGACUUCAGCUUUUGCAUCAUAAAUGAUUUGCUAAUGUCAGACUUGGAGGUUUUUUAUUAUUAUGAUGAUUUGUUCUUAAAAUGAAAUGAAGUGGAUUCUCCACUGGCACUUGUGUAACUAACUGUACAGGGCGAGUCAAAAAGUGAGUGACCGAGUCAGAACAAGCAAGCGCAAACCUCCACCAAGGCUAAACAAUUCCCCGCCAUAUUGUGAGUACAGUACACCCAAAAGAAACACUCGCAUAAAUGGUGAAGAACACUUGAAAUAAAUCCUGCAUCCAGACCAAGAUCCGGAUCACUUCCAAAAUUUAAUCGAAUUUUAUGUGCAAAUACAUCCAUAACUGUUUGAGUUAUCUUGUUAACAGACAAACCAAUAAGAUAGAUGUGGGGAUUAAUAAGAUUGUGGGGAUUGAUUCAUGCUUGCAGAAAAUUUAAUGUCCUACCUGAUUGUAAAGUCACCAAUGUGAUCAUUUAAGCAUCCUGUGAAAUCGCAGCUCCUGGUAUGCUGUCAUUUUCAAGAAAAGAGAAAUUACCAUCAUUUCCUAUGAUGGUUUAGACGGAGGAAUUUGCAAUCAGUUCCAUAUCUGUAAAUGAGAACCAUUUUCCCAAGUCACAAACUGGGAUCAUACCACACAAGGUUUCAAGUCAAAAAGUAUCAAUAAACAAUUUGGAAGGGACGGAGGGCAUUCAACGGACCCUCUUUUUCUUGUCGAUCAAAACGAAGAUGUACUUUCACAGUCUUCCCAAAAGGAAUAUGUAUUUGAGCUGAAAUUUCGACAGAUUAGUUUUUCAAUAUCCUGCUUCACAUUUGUUGUUCCUUGAAUUGGCACAAAAUGUUUAAUUUUUUUUUCAAAUGGUGUCCAUUACCUUUAACUUGUGUACAUAAAGAGAAAUUGUCAUGGAAAAUAUUGGUUUCUCAAGUUUUAUUCUGAUAAAUAUUUUUAUGUAUUCAUGUAUUUCCUGAAUCCAAUUUGAAUAAUUAAUUUGCCUACUGUUUUAAGUAUAUGUAAAUAUGUAUUUAUUGUCUGUGUUUACAGAUUUUACAGGGCAUCGUGUUUUAUUAUAAUUUUUUUAUGUUGAAUUUGUAUACUAUACUGGAUUAACAAUAAAUAUUUGAUUCCAUAGUGCCUCCAAAA